UUCCCGCAACAUCCUUCCGGCAACAUUUGAAGGCUCAUUACAGCUGAGGGAUAAUACUAUUAUACAUAUACAUAGAAAGGCCGGUCCUCGCUUAUCUCUCUCAAUUGAUCAAGCACGCAUAUGUUCUUCUCUCAAAGGCCAAGAUUGGUGGUUUUUAGUCCAAAAAUAGAAGAACAGAUGCGGGAAUUGCUAAACGUGAAGGAGACCUCUGAGGAAUUGCUAAAAAAUGAAGGCCCACCUCCUGUCUAUCUCCUAAGAAUUGCAAAAUGUGAAGGAGCUUAGGUUUUAUUGCUCUUCAUCAAGUGAGAUUUAAAGAGGGGUAGUGCUGAUAUGGAGCCACAUCAAGUUAGUUCUAUUGAAUGUCUUCUUUUGAACUUACCUACAAGUGUAAAGAACAGCUUCAUCAAGUGAGAUUUAAAGAGGGGCAAUGCUGAUAUGGAGCCACAUCAAGUUAGUUCUAUUGAAUGCCUUCUUUUGAACUUACCUACAAGUGUAAAGAACAAGUCAGCCUCUGUAUACAAACUAAGUGUUGGAGGCAAGAGGACUUGGGGUUGAUUUCAGGAUUCAUGCAAUCACAAUACCAGCUUGCAAUUUAGUGAAGUUGAAGUUGCAGUUCCAUUCUACCAGGAAUUUCUGCAUUUGAACUAAACUCUAUUCCAACAUGGGUCAUUUGGGGUUAGGUGCUUUUUGUGCACUUAUUGUAAAACCUGCUUUUAGAUAUUAAUAUUUUGUUUCUUUUGGAUAGAUUCUCAUUGAUAGUUGACAAUUUUGGAUUGUCAAUUGGUUUCAAGCACUUCCUAUUGUAUGGCUCAAGAUAUUGAAAA